UUAAUAACAUUUUUACAGGUUGAUUGAUUUGGUAUAUAUUCCUAGAUUUCAUAUUGAGGUACAUAUCAUUACAGCUAUAUUAUUGAUAACAAAAUAACAGAAUAUCAUGGUUCAUAGGACGAAUGAAAUUAAUAAAAAAUGUUUGAUUCCAUAUAUCAUCAAAGAGUCUAAGGAUAAACAAGAUAUAAGUGGAAAGCUUGAGCUGCAUGAGUCUAUGCAAGUUAAAGAUUUGUAUAGUUUUAUCGAAGAACAACAUCGAUUACGUCCAGAUUCAUUUACAGUACAUUUAAAUACAGGACAAAGAACGAUGGUUAGCGUAUCAGAAAUGACAAAUAAAACAAUAUUAGAUUUGUCGUCGCUCGAUAUGGGUUUUGAAUCUAAUUCUGAAUCUAAUUCUGAAUCUAAUGAAACGUCGAAUACUCUUGUCGUCAAUGUUCAUAAUAAAGUUAUUAAAUAUUUAGAAUCCGAGCCGUCUUUAUGCGAUCCUACACCACAGCAUCAAUUAUCAUCUAAUUGGAAUGAGAAUAAUAUUAACUUAAAAGGUCCUCUUAAACCUGAAACAAAUUAUGUUGGUUUGGUAAAUCAAGCAAUGACGUGUUAUCUCAACAGUCUUCUUCAAGCAUUAUAUAUGACACCAGAAUUUCGUAAUGCUCUUUAUAAUUGGGAAUAUAUUGAAGGUUCAGAAAAAGAUGAAACCAAGAGUAUUCCAUAUCAGUUGCAAAAAUUAUUUCUCAAUUUACAGACGUCUACAAAAUCUGCAGUGGAGACUACAUCGUUAACCAAAAGUUUUGGAUGGAAUUCUAACGAAGCUUGGCAACAGCACGAUAUUCAAGAACUUUGUAGAGUUAUGUUUGAUGCGUUGGAACUGAAAUUCAGAAAUACAGAACAAGCCGAUCUUAUUAAUAGAUUGUAUGAAGGAAAAAUGCUUGAUUAUGUUAAAUGUUUGGAGUGUGGAACAGAGAAAUCAAGAGAAGAUACUUUUCUUGAUAUUCCUUUACCAGUUAGGCCAUUUGGUAGUAAUAUAGCAUACAACAGUGUGGAAGAAGCGAUGAAAGCAUUUGUCCAAUAUGAAACAUUAGAGGGAGCAAAUCAAUAUCAUUGUGAAAAAUGUAACAAAAAAUGUAAUGCACAGAAAGGAUUAAAGUUCACUAAAUUUCCCUAUCUUUUAACAUUACAUCUAAAACGAUUUGAUUAUGACAACAACAGCUGUCAUAGAAUUAAACUUAAUGAUAAAGUCACGUUUCCAGAUACAUUGUUGUUAAAUUCCUUUAUUCCAUCGACGAAUCAAGAAUCACCUUCCGGAGAAGAAGAUAUCGGUGUAGGUAUAAAAUGCGAUGAUAGUUCAACUACAGAUAGUGGUACAUUAGAUGAUGAUUGUCCACCGUGUGAUAAUAAUCACACAAAUUAUAAUUCAUUGAACAAUCACGAUCCGGAUGACGAUGAAGGUAUUGAUAUGAGUAACGGACCAUCAACAUCUAAUUGUAACAAACACAAUUAUAAAAAUGGAAAGCACCAAGGUAAUUGCAUAAUAGAAUCAGGUCCAUACAUAUAUGAAUUAUUUUCGAUUAUGAUACAUAGUGGAAGCGCCAGUGGUGGCCACUAUUAUGCUUACAUUAAGGACUUUAGGACACGAGAAUGGUGGUGCUUCAAUGAUCAAAGUGUUACUCAGAUAACUCAGGAUGAUAUUCAAAAAACGUUUGGUGGUGGCUCAACUAGAGCAUAUUAUAGCGGAGCAUAUAGUAGUAGCACAAAUGCUUAUAUGCUUAUGUAUAGGCAAAUAGAUCCAAUUCGUAAUGCUUUACCGAUGCAAACACAAGAUUUUCCUCGGCAUAUCCAGGAAUUGUUAAAAAAAAUGAAAGAAAGCGAAGACAAUGAUAGAAGGAAUAGAGAAAAACAGAUAGCAUGGCCUAAAUUAAAAAUUUAUUGUCAUCAUCCAGUAACCGGCAAUCUGUGUCACACUAAAUUAAUAACAAUGCCUGAAUAUAAAUUAGCCGAAGUUACGGAAGAAGCUUAUAACAAAUUAGAUCUUCGUGGAGUAGUGAAAUUAAAUCAAUGUCGUUUAGUAGCGUACAAACACAGCACAGAUCUGAUUGAAUGCAGUUACGAAGGAAGAGAACAAGAUGAAAUUUCUAGUAUUUGGUAUAAUAAAAGUUCCAUUGAGCUUCUUCUAGAAAUACGUAAGGAGGAUCAAACGUUUGAAGUUUAUCAACCUGGUGGUAUUACAACUAAAGUAUUUGUGAUAGAUAUUCCCAAAGUAGAUAUUAUAGAUGGACCAAUUAAUGUACGGGGUUUACUCACUCAAAGUGUCAAGGAUUACAAGCAAAUGUUAGGAAACAUCAUUAAUAUGGAUCCUAAACAAAUGAAACUAGUUUUACUGGUUUUACGAAAACGUAAAGUAGAUAUUAAAUUAAUAGAUAGAGACGAUAUUGAUCUUCAAACAGCUGAAUUUAUGAAUGCAAAUAACAAAGUAUUCGUAUCUACUCUGCUCGAUGUGGAUAGUAAUAAAGGUUUUGAUGAGACAACAAUGUAUAAGCUCAUACUAAGGCUCGAAAGAUUUAUCUCAAUACAAGUACAGAUACCUGACAUAAGCAAAGAAAUAUUGGAAGAAUUAGACGUCGUAUCUUUGGCUGACAAAUAUGAUAAUAGAGAAAAUCGCUUCACCAAUGGAUUAUCUAAAUUAUCGAUUAACGAUUUAAAUAACUAUGGCGACACACGAUGUGAAAUGUUACGGGAUGUUACUAAAAUAUCAGUGAAAAAUGAUGAUUGUUCAAUACCAGAUUUACAAUCAGCAGAACCGGAAGAAUGGAAUGUUUCUGAAUUAAGUAACAGUGAAGACAGCAGUCUUAGUGAUAGCGAUAAAACUUUAGUAGGAGAUACUCAAGAGGACGAUGAUUUUCCACCAUCUUAUCAUCCACCUAUUUCGGAUAAUAGAAGAUUCGAUAUAGGAAAUCAACUAGACAUACACAAUUCUGAUAUCGAUGAUGAGUCUGAAUAUUACUUUAAGGCUACUUCUUGUACAAACACCAAUCGAAAAUUACUUAAGGUUUUAGUAGAUAAAAGAAUGCAAUUGAGCACUCUGAAAAAAAUUUUGGAGCCUUAUGUGGGCGUACCUGUUGAAUAUUUCAAAGUUUUCCGACAAUGUGGCGAUGGCGAAUCCGAAUGUACUUGCCUGACGAAUCAGCUUUUUGCUUUUGAUGAUGGCGAACGUCUUAAUAUAAAAUUAGGAAGAGCGCUGCGCAGUGGAGAAUAUAAAAUAAAGCUAUUUCAAUUAUGUAUCGAUUCAAUUGCAGAGCCUUACAAAUUCUUGUGCGAAACAAUUCUUUCUAAAGAUAUGACAUUCGGUCAAGCAAAGAAGCAAAUUUUAGCUGAAUUAAAGAAAAAGCAUAACAUAGACAUACCAUAUGAAAAGUGUAGACUGAGAAAAAAAUUUCAUAAUAUAGCUUCCAAGGUAUUUUUAGAUAAACAGAAAUUUGAUCAACUACAACUUACACAAUAUGAAAUGAUUGUCCAAGAGCUACCAGAGAAAGAAAUCGUUACCGAUAGCGACAAUCAAGUAGUUUUGUUUGUUCGAAGAUGGUCUCCCGCGAAAGUGCAACUUGAUCAACUUCAAGAAGUUGUGUUAGAUGAUAAAUCGAUAGAGGACAUUAAAAAAAAGAUAUCUUCUAUAUCAAAUAUACCUGAAAAAUACAUAGAUAUAGCAAAGGGAAAAGGUACUUUUCCAUGUGAUAUACAUGUAUUAAAAGUCCAUACUGAUCUUCAGUGGAUGGAGCACAUAAUCGGUAACGAAAAUAUAAUAUACGAUGAUUUUGAAGAUGGUGCUGUCUUCAUCUACAAGGAUAGCCGGGAGGAGUUAAAAAAAUUAAGUCCAGACGAAACGAAGGAGAUUACUAAUAAAGAAACUGCACGAUUCAUCCAACUUUCAUCCUCGACGGGUUACAAUAGACGUAGUGAGAAAGCGCUUAAAAUAUAUUUGGAUACUAAAUGAUCCUGCAUUAAUUGUACAUCUACUGAAUGGCAGUAGUUAAUUGAAUACGAUAAGGAACAUGAAACAUUGAGGUGCAAGGUACUUGAAGCGAAAGCAAAAUGGUGAUUGUAUCCCAUUUUCAAGAAACAACCAAAUGUUUUAUGCUCCAUUUAUACAAAUAUAAUUAUAUUUAAAGAGACAGAGAAAAGAAAAAAAGAAUUAUGUUUCAAAUAUUUAUAUGUAUUCAGAUAUACUUAUAUACUAUUCGAUAACUGGAUGAGAAAAAUAUACGCGCGCUCCACAAUAAAGUAUAAUACCUUGUAAAUAAUAAUUAUUAAAAACGUUAUAUAUGUUCGAUUGCGGAGCCAAAUUUGUCAAUAAUAAAAUUUAUGAAGAAUUAUAUAGAAUUAAAAAUUUAAUAUAUAUACACAACUGAAAAUAAAGAAGAUUUCCAGAAUGUGAUAAUAUAUUUGAUAUUUAAAAAAAAAAAGAAAAAAGAAAGAAAAAACCUAUUGUGCAUAUCAUUGUAUAUGUCAGAGAGAGAGAGAGAGAGAGAGAGAGAGAGAGAGAGAGUUACUUCAUUAUAUUAUAAAUAUUGAAAUUUAUGUUCUUUCCUAUGUUGUAUUAAUUUUAAUUGUUUUCCAUGAUAUUAUUUUGCUCAACUAUAUUUACAAUUGCAUAUAUCAUUAGGAAAACACGCUUUUAGUACAGGAUUCUUUUGCAUUUAACAUUUAGCAGCAGCUUUCACAUUUCAUAAAUUUAACCGCGUUUUAUUCCGUUCUAUGCAAUAUGGUGCUAAAAGGGUUAAAUGCAAACUCGUUAUCCUUCCCUUUUAAUUUUAUAUUUCAUUUAAUAGUCUCCUUUUCAGGUAUCUAUUGACUCUUUGUGCAAAUGUCAUACCAAAAGAGAGAAGUUUAAUAUUCGUAAGAUAAUAUAUCAAAUUGAACAAUGAUUUCCAAUCGAACGGUCGCAGUUUAUUUAAAAAAAAAGAAAAAAAACCAGAUUAAAGAUAAUUAUUUUUAAAACCAAUCCAAAAUGUUAUUUAAUAAAUAAAAUAACACGAUCGAUUUUUAUUGUUACUCAUAUAUAGGCUUUUAUUUAUUGUAUGUUGUGUAAAAUUAAGUUUGGUGUGUGUUAAUAAAUUACAUAUAUUAAUGAUGAUUACUUUAAUUAUAUGCGAAACUAAUAAUUCACAUUGGCCAAUAUAACGAGAGUAAUUUACAAACAUAAUUUGAUAAGCGAAUAUUAUAUAUACACAGGAUAUUAAAAUUGUGGUUCAGGAUUAUAUUAAUUUUCUCUUAUAAUUUGGUAUCACCUCUUUAUAUAUCAAUUCAAUUUCAAAUCUUUUUUGCACAACAAACAAACAAAGUAAUAAAAAAUAAAAGAAAUUCAAUAAACAAAUGUAUCAAGCGGAACAAAUAUUGUAAUUAAAUAAAAAAUAUGUAAACUAUUUAUAUGAAUGUAAGGAUCAUCCGAUUUUAAAAUUAUUGAUUUUUAUUAAUGUCAGAAAAUUGAAUGAUAGCCCAUAAAUUGUUGCAGCGUUAAAUGAAACAAACAAAAAGAAAAACAAUAAGAUUAUUAUCUAAAUUUGGCUAAUAUUUACUUCUCUGUACACAUGUGCAGUAUACAAUCCAAUGUGUCAAAUGAUGCUGCUGUAGAUCAGAAUAACAAUUUGUAUUUUUUUGCAUCUAUAGUAUAUAUAAAAAUAUUCAGUAUAAUAAUACCUUCAUUACGAUUCAGCAUACAUAAAAUGCAUAAUAAAUAAUUGGUUGCUUAUUCUUAAUGAUAUAGACAAAAAGAAUCAUAGAAAAUACAAGGAAGUGUGCACGCACAUACGCAUAAAUGUUGUGCACAUAGUGGUAGCAACGCGUGUAUAAGUGUGAGAGAAUUAAAUAACAAAAAAAUAAUAUUUUUAUCCUUUUUGUGGAUAAUUUCGAGAUUAUGAAAUAUAUCUCGUUUAGUAAAAUAUGUGUAUACAGGCUAACACCUGAACUUUCCAAUUAGCAAUGAUCGAACAAUGUUAUGCCUUGUAAUAUAUGUGACAAUUAUGAACUAAAUUAUAUUUUUAAUUAUGAACAAAUGAAAAGAUAUGAAAGUGGAAUAGACUUUUCGGUCCAAAAACAGAUAACUGUAUGAGAUUUUAUCAAUCAUUAUAGUGUGAUGCUUUUCUUAUUUUUUGUGUUGCUGUGUUGACAUCAUUAAUCACUGUUAUUGUUUUAUUAAAUAUACAAAUAAAUUUGUUCCUUGUAAUCU